rnacentral:lncRNA from 1 species
AUGAAAGGAAAUUUGCCUGGCGACCAGAUAAACUUGGCACUGUUACUAGACCAUGAGAAACGUGAGGGUGUGAAUUUCGUCAGCCUGCUCAUCCUCGGCUUCCUCGUGAAGCACCUCUUCUCAUGCUCCUUCAGUUCCCCACAACCACCAUUCCUACCCAAAGGCCAGACGGGGUGUGGCCAGUCAUUUCAGCUGGUCGGACUCAUGAUGGAGAAGGGAUGUUUUAUGUGUUGGGGUGGAAGAAAGUGCCGGUCCCCUCUUUUGGAUGCUGCUUCUAAAAGGAUGGCUGAGGAGUUCCUGUCAUGGCUCAGCGGAUACAAAUCCAACUAGCAUCCACGAGGAUGCGGGUUUGAUCCCUGGCCUCGCUCUGUAGGUUAAGGAUCUAAGUUGCUGUGAGCUGUGCUGGCAGUCAGCAGCUGUAGUUCUCGUUCAACUGCUAGCCUGGGAACUUCCAUAUGCUGCAGAUGCAGCCCUAAAAAGCCCCCCCCCCAAAAAAAAGGAUGGCUGCAUGAAAAUAGCCCCUCCAGAUCUGGCCUCAGAGUGAACCUCUACAGAUGCGAGAUAUAGUCUUGCUGGUAACAAAUGUCUCUCCUGCAGCACAGUCUGCUGUCAGGGCUACUGUCUCUUUUCUCCACCUUGUCAAAGACCCUAGUAUAUUUUCUUUGCUUCUGGUCAAGACCCCAGACAAAUUAUCCUAUUAAACAAAUCAUUACCAAAGAUGUGGUAAGAUCCCUAAUAACACAUCAUUACCAAAGAUGUGAUAAGAGCCCUAAUAACAAAUCAUUACCAAAGAUGUGAUAAGAGCCCUAAUAGUGGUAGGUGCCAGACGAAGCGGAGGCAUACAAGUAGGUGUUGUUAAUUCUCACUAGGGGGAGGACAGGGUUGAUAUCUGAAAAAGAGGUUUCUUUUGAGAAGAAGUUGUUUUUUUAACUUAUUAAACAGAACUUUUUUUUUUUUGUCUUUUUUAGGGCCGCACCUGAGGCAUAUGGAAGUUACCAGGCUAGGGGUCAAAGUGGAGCUGCAGCUGCUCGCCUACACCAUGGCCACAGCAACACGGGUUGUGAGCUUUGUCUGCGACCUACAUCACAGCUCAGGGCAACGCUGGAUCCUUAACCCACUGAGGGAGGCCAGGAAUGGAACCUGCAUCCUCAUGGGUACUAGUUAGGUUGGUUACCACUGUACCACCCCGGGAACUCCCAGAAGUUGAUUUUUAAAUUGUAGUAAAAUACACAUAACAUUUACCCUCUUAACCACUUUUAAGUGUCCACUUUGGUGGCAUUAAAUAUAUUCACAUUGUAACCAACCUCCAGAACUUUCUCACCUUGCAAAA